UCCUCCAGGAAAGCCAGUCAAGUCAAAAGUGAAUGGGAGCUCAUAGCACUUCGUGCUGGCGUGUUUGAUAUGAGUUCUCCAGUUCUGGACACCACAAUAUGCCCGAACCACCGAUACAAGUUGAGUUUAUCAUGGAAUCAGCAAAGGAGAUGCCAGCACCCACUUCAUCAACCCUCUAAAACAAGUCGGAAGCCCAGAAAAGAUGGUGGUUCAGUUCAUCGAGUGAUGUCUCGGGAAAUAUACAUCAAGUGGGGAGUUUUUGUCCCAGUUGGCUCAGCUCUGUGUAAAGGAUGUGAGGCUAAACAUCGAGUAUCUGUGGCAAAUGUAGAACCAGAAGUAGAACCAGCACCCAUGGAUACAGAGUCCGCUGUUGCCUCUUCCUCUGUUCAACCAGCCGACGCCUUAGAAAACCCAGCAGACGGGACAGAAGGGCAAAUUUGAUGGGUAAUGUUGUUGCAACAGUAUCAUAAGGACUGCUGGUCAAGCACUCUUGAGCUGGGAGAGAGAAAUGAUAAGAGGGUGGAGACAGAUUUUCUGAAAUGUUGGUCUUUGAGCCAUGACUGGGCAGAAUUAGCCCAGUGAAAGUUGUCAGCUACACAUCAAGAAUUCUUGAUUUAGAAUGAAAGGGUACGACUUUAUUGGAUGUACAUUCAUCAGGCUUGACCUGAGAUU